AAACUAACAAGGAUUCCCCUAGUAGCGGCGAGCGAAGCGGGAAGAGCUCAAAUUUAUAAUCUGGCACUUUCAGUGUCCGAGUUGUAAUCUCUAGAAGUGUUUUCCGCGUUGGACCGCACACAAGUCUGUUGGAAUACAGCGGCACAGUGGUGACACCCCCGUACACGGUGCGGACGCCCAGCGCUUUGUGAUACACUUUCGAAGAGUCGAGUUGUUUGGGAAUGCAGCUCAAAUUGGGUGGUAAAUUCCAUCUAAAGCUAAAUAUUGGCGAGAGACCGAUAGCGAACAAGUACCGUGAGGGAAAGAUGAAAAGCACUUUGGAAAGAGAGUUAACAGUACGUGAAAUUGUUGGAAGGGAAACGCUUGAAGUCAGACUUGCUUGCCGGAGCUUGCUUCGGUUUGCAGGCCAGCAUCAGUUUUCCGGGGUGGAUAAUGGCGGUUAGAAGGUAGCAGCUUCAGCUGUGUUAUAGCUUUCCGCUGGAUACAUCCUGGGGGACUGAGGAACGCAGCGUGCUUUUAGCGGGGGU
rnacentral:rRNA from 1 species